UAGGGAAUAUUGGACAAUGGGCGCAAGCCUGAUCCAGCCAUGCCGCGUGAGUGAUGAAGGCCUUAGGGUCGUAAACCUCUGUUGUGUGGGAAGAAGAGCGUGACGGUACCACACGAGGAAGUCCCGGCUAACUACGUGCCAGCAGCCGCGGUAAUACGUAGGGGACGAGCGUUGUCCGGAUUUACUGGGCGUAAAGGGCGCGUAGGCGGUCAUUUAAGUCAGCUGUGAAAUGGUUUGGCUUAACCGGAUCAUGCGGUUGAAACUGGAUGACUGGAGUGCUGGAGAGGCAAGUGGAAUUCCCAGUGUAGCGGUGAAAUGCGUAGAUAUUGGGAAGAACACCGGUGGCGAAGGCGACUUGCUGGCCAGCAACUGACGCUGAGGCGCGAAAGCCAGGGGAGCAAACG
rnacentral:rRNA from 1 species